UACAGAGGUCCCGAGCGUUGUUCGGAUUCACUGGGCGUAAAGGGUGCGUAGGCGGUCGGGUAAGUCUGAUGUGAAAUCUCACAGCUUAACUGUGAAACUGCAUUGGAUACUAUUCGGCUUGAGAGUUGGAGGGGGGACUGGAAUUCUCGGUGUAGCAGUGAAAUGCGUAGAUAUGCGGAGGAACACCAGUGGCGAAGGCGGGUCUCUGGGCCGAAAUUGACGCUGAGGAGCGAAAGCGUGGGGAGCAAACAGG
rnacentral:rRNA from 1 species